rnacentral:lncRNA from 1 species
ACCAUCUAAAGAUAUAGGUGUGGCAUUUUAGACAUUUUUAUCUACGCCUGGUCUAUGAGCCUGUUCGCAUCCCUUUAGCUUUUUGGAAUCUUGAAACAUAAGUUCUCAACAAAUUAAAAAAAAAAGUAUUUGAGGCAUGAAGAUGUAAUAGAGAUGAGUUUAUGGAAACCCCCCCACCCCAAUGUCUUGUUUUUGUGUUUUUGUCAAUUGUAAUGAUUGAAUAGGGAUAUGAUGUUGUAGUGUGCGAUUUUUACCAGUUGCCUCUUGAAUAGAAAACAUUUGCUUGAUCUUGCAAUGCCUGAACAAAAUUUCUUGAGUUUACGGAAGCAAUAUACAAACAUGAGGUAUGCCUAAAUAAAAAUUAGAAGUUUGUUUUUUUCAGAUAGUUAAUGUAUUUGAUUUUGAAGUUUUUGUUAGAAAUUUUAUUUUUGUAAUGUUCAUCAGCCAUCUUAUUCACAUCCAUGUCAUCAUGAGCUUCCCAUCAAUAACUGAAAUUAUAGGCAACUUCUUUAUAUUAAAUAUGCUUUUAAAUCGUUUAGAUUCAAUCUCAAUAUCGGUUCAAGUAAAGAUGUUGCAGUUCUCGACUGCUACAUGUUUGGUACAAACUUCGUAUUGAUUUUUAUUUGUCACUUUUUUGACUUUUGCUGCAUAGUUAUGCAGAGGAAUUUGUACCAUAGUGGAGAGAGAUCAUUAGCUGAAACUCCUUUGAAACAUCAAGAAAGUGGUUCGUAGACUAUCUAGCACAAUUUUUAAUUUAUUUUUACUCACUCGUAGGAUAUUGCGAUUUUAUUUUGUAGGCAAAAAAAAUAUUUGAAUGCUAUACUUUUUGAAAGAUUUUUUACUUAGACUUUGGAUAUGGAUGAUUGUUUUAUUAAUCACUACUUUGUUUGUGAACACAACACUAUUUGUAGGCAUUAUAUACAAAACAUCCGAUUCAAGCUAUAUCAAGAGAUACAAUGACGAAAAAGUUCCAACCGAAAUAUGUCAAUGAUAUUAACUACGGCUUAUCACCACUAAAGGUAAUUAUGGCAAAUCUUGAUACCUUGCACACGGAGACAUUAAAUGUUGUAGUGAAAACAAUAUAUUUUUUAAAUCUUAAAAAUUAAACCUUACAACCAUAUAAAAAAUAUAAUUAAAUUUAGUAAGAAGUAUUGAAAUGAAGAACAUAUAUCAGUUUGAUUUGGCAAGGUAAAAGAAUUUAUUUAUGAAGUAAUGAUUUGAGCACAUAAUGAAUUUCAACUUUGUUCAUAUUUAAUCGUUAAUUUUUUUUUUAUAUUUGAUUUAUUCUUGAUUUAAUUAAAAUUAUUCACAUUUUACUUUUAUAUUCGAUUAAUUUAUGAGUAAUUCAAGUACAAAAAAAAAUUCUUAAAUGUAAACAAAGUUAAAAGUUUGUUACAUUUUCAAUCAUUUUUUCAUAUAUUUAUUCAAAUUAAAAUUUUUUAAACUGUAUAUACUUUUAGAAAAAUUAAAUGAAACAAAAAAUAUUAUUAAAAAUUUUGUUUCUACAAGUUGGAAUUGAAGGACAUCGUCUAUCAUAAUAAUUUUCAUAACAAUGAGGCGACAUGUUCGGACAAUAGCUAUUUUAAAAAGCCAUUCUUAGCCACUACCUCAGAGUUUUCUAUUGUCAGAAUUUAUUUACUUUUUAAUAAUAUUAUGUAAAUAGUUUAUCAUUGUCGCAUAGAUCCAAAUGUUAUUAAAGCAAUAAAAAAAGUAAAACUAUUUUAAAUUACUUGCCUUCUUAAUGAGCACGUUAUCGUUCUAUAUAUGGUUAUAAUUUCUUUAUUUUUAACGUGUCAUAUCGAUCCAAAUGUAUAUUUAAUCAAUAAAAAAAGUCAAACUAUUUUAAAUUAGAUGCCUUUUUUUAAUGAGUACCUUAGAUUGAAAGCACCGUAAUUAGUAGAUAUUAAAAACAACGACUAUAUAUAUGGCCUAGGUUUUAUAUAUUAAAAAUGUGUUUGCCAUUAUGUGUUCAUGCUAGAGCCCUAAUCAAGCUUGCUUUCAACCGAGAUCUAGAUAGGAAAGAGUGAAAGACUAAUCAAAAUGCAUCCAAAACAUUAUUAUUGAUACCAAAAGAAAUUACAAUGAUUUCGCAUCUAAUGAGUACGUACGAGACGUUUGGAUUAUGUUGCCAUGCGUUUGCUAAUUAACUUGUUGAUAUUAUCGAUCAUAUCAUGAAAAUCACAGUUAAUUAAGAACUAACAAUGGAGACAGGUUUUCCGUGAGCAAGUAAUGGAACCAAUCUGUGAUUAGCCAGACCAAAAGUUUCAUCCAUAUUGACGUCCUUUGGCAUUACACCCUGAGGUAGCGACCAAUCAAAUUUCGAUAGAACAGUAGCCAGAACCUUCUCAUUGAUGGCCAUGGCAAAUACCCUUCCAGGGCAACUCCUUCGUCCAGC